GGCUUGGCGCAAUCGGUAGCGCAACGCUCUUGUAAAGCGUAGGUUGCGGGUUCGAGUCCCGCAGCC
rnacentral:tRNA from 1 species